rnacentral:rRNA from 1 species
UACGUAGGGGGCAAGCGUUGUCCGGAAUCAUUGGGCGUAAAGCGCGUGUAGGCGGCUCGAUAAGUCUGCUGUGAAAGUCCAGGGCUCAACCCUGGGAUGCCGGUGGAUACUGUCGAGCUCGAGUCCGGAAGAGGCGAGUGGAAUUCCUGGUGUAGUGGUGAAAUGCGUAGAGAUCCGGAGGAACACCAGUGGCGAAGGCGACACGCUGGGCCGUACCUGACACUGAUGCGCGACAGCAUGGGGAGCAAACAGG